rnacentral:rRNA from 1 species
GCUUAAUAUGGAGUAGUAUUCAAUUAAAUUUAUUUUAAUAAAAAUUUUAUAGUACAAUUUAUUUUAUUGGGGCGAUAAGAGUAAAAUUUUUACUAACUGCUGACAUGAUAAAACAGUUAUAAUUGAAGUAGAAAGAUAAAAGAUCCUAAAUAAAGAUUAAAAGUUUAAGUU